UGUAUUUCCUGUGAAACUGACUUAGCUGUGAAGGCCCACCUGCCUUUUCUCCACAUCACUCCCUUCCUUCUGCCAUUGGUUGGGGUGGCAUUUGCCAGAUUGAAACGUGAAUUUGGUUGGCUUUGGGACCAAAGUGGUCGUCUUGGGACCAUGAAGUAAAGACUGAGGAUCGUAGACCUUUUCUCCUGCCAGCGUUCCCACCCCUCACAAUUGACCAAAGGUGUCCAUUCUACUUCCAAAACCAGGCAGAGAGGAACUGGGAAACCUGACUGCCAUUGGCAGGGUCUGCUGCUUCCCAAUAGCUUCUGCUGUGUUUGAAUGGUGUUCCUGAGCUCUGAUGUGUCCUAGACUGCCCUUGCUACAGCCUGUCUUUUAAAUAAUUUAUCUGAAAAUGUCAUCAUUUCAUCUAUAUCCUGGGACGAAAUUUCUGCUGGGUAUACCCUCUAGGUUUGCAGUUAUUUUCUUUCAGUCCUUUAAAAAUAUGCUUCCAUUGUCAUUGGCUCCCACUGGUCCUGUAAGAAGUCAGCCAUCAGUCUAUUUAUCACUCCUUUAAAGGAAUUUUGUUUCAGGUUGUUUGGGACUCUCUGUACUUCCUGGACCUGCAGGUCUCUUUUCUUCAGUAGGUUAGGAAUGUUUUCAGCUAUUAUUUUUCCCACUAGGCUUUCUUUCCCUUCAUCUUUCUCUUAUCUCUCUGGGACCCUUAUAUGGCAGUGUUUGUAAGCCUGAUGUCUCUUAAACUAUCUUCUUCUGUUUUUUCUUUUUUGCUGGUUCUAAUGGGAGUGAUUUCUACCAGACUGUCUUCCAGAUCCCCAGUCUAUUCUCCUGUAUCAUCUAAUUUGCUCCUGGUUUCCUCUAAUAUAUUUUUAAAUUUUUAGUUAUUCUUCAGCUCUGAUUCAGUUCUUUUUAAUAUUUUAUCUCUUUGUUGAAGUUCUCAAUGUGUUCCUCCAUUCUUCUGAGUUCAGUGAGUAAUUUUAUUACUGUUACUUUUUAACAUUUAUUUUUAUUUAUUUGACGGCAUUGGAUCUUAAUCACAGCUUGUGGAAUUUAGUUACCUGACUGGGGACUGAAGCCUGGCUCCCCACAUUGGAAGCGUGGAGCCCCAGCCUCUGAACCACCAGGGAAGUCCCUACUCUUGACCCUUUACCUGGAAGAUUGCUUAUCUCUGUUUUGUUUAGUUCUUUUCCUGAAGUUUUUUUCUUGUUCUUUUGUUCGGGACGUAUUCCCUUGUCUCCUCAUUGUGCCUAACUGUCCAAAACAUAUGGACACUGGGCUUUUGCAAAAGCUCCUUGUGAUUUUAAUGAAUACUGAGAUUGAGAUUUUCCCAGCAUAAAAUAUGAUAAUUGCUAAGUCACUUCAGUCAUGUCUGACUCUGU
ensembl:lncRNA